rnacentral:rRNA from 1 species
AAGAUGAGAUAUCCCAUAACGUCAAGUUAGUAAGACCCCUUGAAGACGACGAGGUAGAUAGGGCAGAGGUGGAAGUGUGGUAACGCAUGGAGCUGACUGUUACUAAUAGGUCGAGGGCAUAACCAAG